UACGUAGGGUGCGAGCGUUAAUCGGAAUUACUGGGCGUAAAGCGUGCGCAGGCGGUUUUGUAAGCCAGAUGUGAAAUCCCCGGGCUUAACCUGGGAAUGGCGUUUGGGACUGCAAGGCUUGAGUGCGGCAGAGGAGACUGGAAUUCCUGGUGUAGCAGUGAAAUGCGUAGAUAUCAGGAGGAACACCGAUGGCGAAGGCAGGUCUCUGGGCUGACACUGACGCUCAUGCACGAAAGCGUGGGGAGCAAACAGG
rnacentral:rRNA from 1 species